rnacentral:rRNA from 1 species
CGGGUGAGUAACGCGUGAGGAACCUGCCUCAAAGAGGGGACGAACAGUUGGAAACGACUGCUAAUACCGCAUAAGCCCACGGCUCGGCAUCGAGCAGAGGGAAAAGGAGUGAUCCGCUUUGAGAUGGCCUCGCGUCCGAUUAGCUAGUUGGUGAGGUAACGGCCCACCAAGGCAACGAUCGGUAGCCGGACUGAGAGGUUGAACGGCCACAUUGGGACUGAGACACGGCCCAG